rnacentral:rRNA from 1 species
CUGCUGCCUCCCGUAGGAGUCUGGUCCGUGUCUCAGUACCAGUGUGGGGGACCUUCCUCUCAGAACCCCUACGCAUCGUCGUCUUGGUGGUCCGUUACACCGCCAACUAACUAAUGCGACGCAUGCCCAUCCGCCACCGGAAUUAACCUUUGGCACCAACAGGAUGUCCCGUCGAUGCAUUAUGCCGUAUUAGACGGAAUUUCUCCCGAUUAUCCGGCUGUGGCAGGCAGGUUGCAUACGUGUUACUUACCCGUGCG